AGUGAACGCUGGCGGCAGGCCUAACACAUGCAAGUCGAACGGCAGCACAAGAGAGCUUGCGCUCUGGGGGGCGAGAGGCGGACGGGAGGGGCAUGCAUCGGAGUCUUCCCAUUUGUGGGGGAGAACCUCUGGAAACCGCGACUAAUACCGCAUACGACCUACGGGGGAAAGCCGGGGAGCUUCUGACCUUGCGCAGGUUGAUGAGCCGAUGCCGGAAUAGGUAGUUGGGGCGGUGAAGUGCGACCAAGGCGACGAACCGUAGCUGGUCUCAGAGGAUGAUCAGCUACCCUGGCACUGAGACACGGCCCCGACUCUUACGGGAGGCAGCAGUGGGGAAUCUUGGACGAUGGGGCCGAGCCUGAUACAGCCCUGCCGGGUGUGGCAAGAAGGCCUCCGGGUUGUAAAGCACUUUUGUUGUUAAGGAAGAGCAGCCGGUUUAUCCCCGGUUGUCAUGACGGUACCCGAAGAAUAAGCCCCGGCUAACUUCGUG
rnacentral:rRNA from 1 species